rnacentral:misc_RNA from 1 species
AAGACUAUAGACCUGCGGAGUACCUGCGGAAGGAUCAUUAUCGUAUUGUAACAAUUGGGGGGGCCACCGUGGGCUGUCGCUGACCCUUUGAAAGGGGGGUCGUGCACGCCCCCAUAGUGUCAUCCUCAUACAAUCCAACUCACCUCUGUGCAUCACCGCGUGGGUUCCUUUCUGGGUCGAGUCAGACUGGCUCAGAAAAAAGGGGCUUGCGUUUUCCAUACAAAUACCCUAAUAAAUCCA